GAGAAGAUGAGCGUAGAGCAACUAAAAGCAAUAAAAGAACAGACGGAUCUAGAAGUCAAUCUCUUACAAGACAGUCUCAACAACAUCCGUACCGCCACCUCUCGCCUCGAGUCGGCUUCCACUGCUCUCCACGAUCUUUCCCUCCGUCCUCAAGGUGCCAAAAUGUUGGUACCUCUUACGGCGUCGCUUUACGUUCCUGGCACUCUCGAUGACGCCCGAAAAG
rnacentral:lncRNA from 1 species